rnacentral:rRNA from 1 species
AGAGUUUGAUCCUGGCUCAGGAUGAACGCUGGCGGCGUGCCUAAUACAUGCAAGUCGGACGCAAUGCUUCGGCAUUGAGUGGCGAACGGGUGAGUAAUACAUAAGCAACCUGCCCCUGUGAGGGGGAUAACUGCUGGAAACGGCAGCUAAGACCGCAUAGGCAUACAUGACGCAUGUCGAGUAUGUUAAAUAUCCUACGGGAUAGCACAGGGAUGGGCUUAUGACGCAUUAGCUAGCUGGUGAGGUAGAGGCUCACCAGGGCGACGAUGCGUAGCCGGCCUGAGAGGGUGGACGGCCACACUGGGACUGAGACACGGCCCAGACUCCUACGGGAGGCAGCAGUAGGGAAUUUUCGGCAAUGGGCGAAAGCCUGACCGAGCAACGCCGCGUGAAGGAAGAAGUCAUUCGUGAUGUAAACUUCUGUUAUAAAGGAAGAACGGCGCCUGUAGGGAAUGACAGGCGAGUGACGGUACUUUAUGAGGAAGCCACGGCUAACUACGUGCCAGCAGCCGCGGUAAUACGUAGGUGGCGAGCGUUAUCCGGAAUCAUUGGGCGUAAAGAGGGAGCAGGCGGCAGUGCAGGUCUGCGGUGAAAGCCCGAAGCUAAACUUCGGUAAGCCGUGGAAACCGCACAGCUAGAGAGCAUCAGAGGAUCGCGGAAUUCCAUGUGUAGCGGUGAAAUGCGUAGAUAUAUGGAGGAACACCAGUGGCGAAGGCGGCGGUCUGGGGUGCAGCUGACGCUCAGUCCCGAAAGCGUGGGGAGCAAAUAGGAUUAGAUACCCUAGUAGUCCACGCCGUAAACGAUGAGUGCUAAGUGUUGGGGGUCAGACCUCAGUGCUGCAGUUAACGCAAUAAGCACUCCGCCUGAGUAGUACGUUCGCAAGAAUGAAACUCAAAGGAAUUGACGGGGGCCCGCACAAGCGGUGGAGCAUGUGGUUUAAUUCGAAGCAACGCGAAGAACCUUACCAGGUCUUGACAUGGAGAUAAAGGCUCUGGAGACAGAGAGAUAGGUAUAUCUCACACAGGUGGUGCAUGGUUGUCGUCAGCUCGUGUCGUGAGAUGUUGGGUUAAGUCCC